GGGCCCGUAGCUCAGUCAGGUUAGAGCAUUGGCCUUUUAAGCCAAGGGUCAGGGGUUCGAAUCCCCUCGGGCCCG
rnacentral:tRNA from 1 species